GGAGAACUGGAAACGGAAAACU
rnacentral:piRNA from 1 species